rnacentral:lncRNA from 1 species
CUUCUGGCUACUGGGAGUCCCUGUCCCUCCGCCGCCGCCGCCGCCGCCUCUUCCGUCUUCCUCACCGAGCCAAAGCCGCCGCCAUCUUGGUUCGCCCCUCAAUAGUGGCGCGCGCGGGGCCACCCAGGCAGCGGCUGCAGGGGCGGCCCGUUGGCCCCACCAUUUAAAGAGGCAGGAACGAAGCUAAAGUAUUGAUGGAAAAACACACACACACAAGAAGUAGCUGUUGGAAACGAUAAGGCCAAAAUGUGACAUCAUUGAAUCAAUCCAAGUUUGCCAGAGCACGUGGCUUCCUCUUCAGAUACCAACACUGAAAGAUUCUGGGUUGAUCUGUUAUUGGACCCCACGUCCAAGGUCAGGGGUGGCGGCUGAAAGGAGCAAACCCACGUCCAAGGAGCGGCUGUUGCGUGGCGCAGGAGGACCAAGAGGAGCUACUCCACAUUCAAGGUCAGGAGGGCUGGCUGUGAGGAGAUACCCCACGUCCAAGGUAAGAGAAACCCAAGUGAGACGGUAGGUGGUGCUAGAGGGCAUCAGAGGGCAGACACACUGAAACCAUAAUCACAGAAAACUAGCCAAUCUGAUCACACGGACCACAGCCUUGUC